GACGAACGCUGGCGGCGUGCUUAACACAUGCAAGUGGAGCGACGAACCGGGGCUUGCCCCGGGGCAGAGCCGCGAACGGGUGAGUAACACGUGGGUAACCCACCCCGAUGACCGGGACAACCCGAGGAAACUCGGGCUAAUACCGGAUGUGCUCCUUGACCUUGAGGUCAAGGCGUAAAGAUAGCUUCGGCCUUCGCAUCGGGACGGGCCCGCGGCCCAUUAGCUUGUUGGUGGGGUAACGGCCUACCAAGGCGACGAUGGGUAGCUGGUCUGAGAGGACGAUCAGCCACACUGGGACUGAGACACGGCCCAGACUCCUACGGGAGGCAGCAGUGGGGAAUCUUGCGCAAUGCGCGAAAGCGUGACGCAGCAACGCCGCGUGGGGGAAGAAGGCCUUCGGGUUGUAAAGCUCUUUCAGCUGGGAAGAUAAUGACGGUACCAGCAGAAGAAGCCCCGGCUAACUCCGUGCCAGCCGCCGCCGUAAAAC
rnacentral:rRNA from 1 species